AUUGAACGCUGGCAGCAGGCCUAACACAUGCAAGUCGAACGAGUGGCGGACGGGUGAGUAAUGUCUGGGAAACUGCCUGAUGGAGGGGGAUAACUACUGGAAACGGUAGCUAAUACUGCAUAACAUCAGAUGUGCCCAGAUGGGAUUAGCUAGUGGGUGGGGUAACGGCUGACCAAGGCGACGAUCCCUAGCUGGCCUGAGAGGAUGACCGGCCACACGUGAACUGAGACACGGUCCAGACUCCUACGGGAGGCAGCAGUGGGGAAUAUUGCGCAAUGGGCGCAAGCCUGAUGCAGCCAUGCCGCGUGUGUGAAGAAGGCCUUCGGGUUGUAAAGUACUUUCGGCGGGGAGGCGUUACCCGCAGAAGAAGCACCGGCUAACUCCGUGCCAGCAGCCGCGGUAAUAC
rnacentral:rRNA from 1 species